GACAGAGGAUGCAAGCGUUAUCCGGAAUGAUUGGGCGUAAAGCGUCUGUAGGUGGCUUUUAAGUCCGCCGUCAAAUCCCAGGGCUCAACCCUGGACAGGCGGUGGAAACUACCAAGCUGGAGUACGGGUAGGGGCAGAGGGAAUUUCCGGUGGAGCGGUGAAAUGCGUAGAGAUCGGAAGAACACCAACGGCGAAGCACUCUGCUGGGCCGACACUGACACUGAGAGACGAAAGCGUAGGGGAGCGAAUGGG
rnacentral:rRNA from 1 species